CAUCAAGGUUACCGAGGCGGAAGCGAGGUGCCGCCGUGGUGCUACUGAGGCGGAAGCGUCCCCAAGACGCAAGCGGCUUUGGCCGAGGGCGCUAGGGCGGACCCUUGCGGGCUUCCAUCCUUUCCUCCAGCCGCGCUGUGCCUGACACAGCAGUGAGUGUGCCCCUAGUGGCCAGAGCCCUGGCGCCCUGAGCCCCGCCCCCCGGGGGAAGGACCCGGGCAGGCGCGCUGGGCCUGGCCGUGUUGCCAUGGGAACGUGGCCCCUGCGCUGCUGUCCCGCUCCAGCAGGCCCCGGAGCAAGGCCAGGUAAGCGCGGCGCGGGGCGGCGCUGCGCUGCUCCCUGAGCCCAGCGGGCGGCUGUUGGUGUUUCCUCACCUCAGACUCUGCCCCUGGCCCGCGAGAGGCGCAGCCACAGAAUGCAAUGAAGGGAGAGAGAAAAGGGUUCUGAUUGUCAGGGUCUCCAGAUGGGCAUCUCUUGGGAAGAAAUUCACUUAAAAGCCUGGCUAGGAUCAUGCUCAUGCCUUGAAGUUAACAGGGGACCCGAGCCAACUCCUACCGAAGUCCACGGGAGUCUCGCCAUUGAUUUCAAUGGGCUCUGGCUUGAUCCCUUAACAAGGUGAGUUCAGUGUUCCUUGAAAGAUGGACCCAUGGAAACCCACCUUACUGCUGCUUCCUGCUCUGCUCCCAUGCAAUUCUGAACCUCCUCCGUGUCUACAGUGAAGGACACAAUGCCCCAGCCUCACAUGAGGAGCCAGGAGGCUAUGUGAAAAGGAAGCGACUCCACUUUAUCUCCUGCAGAGUGUUUUGCGCCCCCCAUUCACUGGCAAUAAUGACUGGAAACCACAGACUGGGUCACAAAUGGCACCUUGUCUGUCACCAGCAGAGGCUGUAUGCGACAUGAAAAUAUUCUUAUCGGCUUGUCAGCUGUCUGCAGAGGCCUGGACUUUCUAGUUAGGGACCAGUGGGCUCACUGUGCAGCAAGAUUUGUCCCAACUAGUCACUGCAGGACUGUACGUGCUGUGGCUGGCGCCUGGUCUAUUGUAAAGUGAAACUAGAUAAGAAUCAAGUUUUGAAGACCGUGGCGACUUCCUCAGAGAAAUCCCCAGGCCUGACUGAGCCAGCCAGAGAUGCACCCAACACUUAGCAAACAGAGAACCUUAGACAGCCCGUGGUUUAUAGGAGGUUCUAAAUGCUCCUCUUUAGUGAUAACUAUGAAGGUGACUAAGAAAUGCCUUUAACUGCGUGUAGCAUUAUUUCCUCAAUGCAGAUUUGAAAGUGGAGGCUCAGAUUCAAGAAAUGACAUAAAAGGGAGAAUUUCUGCUUUAAGUUAGUUCAACUUGAUCGUGAACCUAUGACAAGUUGUACAGGAAAUUAUGUAAAGUCCCUGAAUCAGUGUUAUCUGCGAAGUGGGGAGUGGAAUUCUUCCGGUUUCACAAGCUUUGUAUCCAGAAUAGAAAAAAAAAGAAUCUGUGUUACAGCAACAUUCAGCAAUGAUACACCAAUGAGAGCCAAGUGGGUAGUGUAGCUGGAGCUGAAGUGUUUCCAGCCCUAUACUGUGAAAAGUGGUGGUAAAAAUGCUCUGUCUACACCAGUGUCUCUGUUGUAUCACCAGCAGAGCUGCAUCCUAUGUGUUUUCCUUCCCUGACUCAGCUCCAGUGUAUUAUGGCAGAGUGCAGGCAUUUUUAACACCACUGUGACAUACCCAGGGUACGAUCCAGACUACUAUGUAGCUGUGUCACGCCUGCCCUCUAACCCGGGCUGCCCUUUACACUGCCUUGCUGCUGUAGCCUCCAGUCUGGAGUGCUCACAGAGAGCCUGCAAGUCAUUCCCAGCCAUGUCUGUGUGCUGCAGCCAGCCACACCGUGGCUCUCACCAACCUGGCUUAUACUGCACGGUGACCCCAACUCACUCCCAGGCUUAACUUUUCCUCCAGAAGUGUACGUCCUGUACUGCCCAGCCCUCUCCUGGACAAUGCAAGUUUAUAUAAAGUCCAUUAUUUCAUCAAUAGAAAUAUGCACCCAGCUUGUUACCCCCAACAGCAUUUCCCAGACACUUUGAUUUAAACCCACUGGAUCAGAUCAAACAAUAAAACAAGUUUAUUAACUACAGAGAGAAAUUUUUAAGUCAGUACAAUUAACGAGGCAUUAAAUGUCAGAAAUGGUUACAAGAAAAACAAGCUAAAACACAACUUAAACUGUGUUAAAUUCAAAACAAAGCUUUCUCAUUGCAUG